GCAACUCGCCUACACGAAGUCGGAAUCGCUAGUAAUCGCGGAUCAGCAUGCCGCGGUGAAUACGUUCCCGGGCCUUGUACACACCGCCCGUCACACCAUGAGAGUUGGGAAUACCCGAAGCCUGUGAGCUAACUUUAAGAGGCAGCAGUCGAAGGUAGAAUCAAUGAUUGGGGUGAAGUCGUAACAAGGUAAC
rnacentral:rRNA from 1 species